GGGGCCGUAGCUCAGUUGGGAGAGCGCUACGUUCGCACCGUAGAGGUCAGGGGUUCGAUUCCCCUCGGCUCCACCA
rnacentral:tRNA from 1 species